rnacentral:rRNA from 1 species
AACGAACGCUGGCGGCAGGCUUAACACAUGCAAGUCGAACGCCCCGCAAGGGGAGUGGCAGACGGGUGAGUAACGCGUGGGAAGCUACCGUGCCCUGCGGAAUAGCUCUGGGAAACUGGAAUUAAUACCGCAUACGCCCUACGGGGGAAAGAUUUAUCGGGGUAUGAUGAGCCCGCGUUGGAUUAGCUAGUUGGUGGGGU